UGCAGAUGGGAGUGGAAGCACUGGGGAGCAUACUAAUGUUGAAAACAUUUACAGGUGCUAUUGCAGCAAAGAUCAGAUCAGCAGAAUUCCCUCCAAUUCACAAUACAGGCACCUAAAUUACAGCCCCAGCACCACCCGAGCCUUUGAGAAAGUGAGACAGAGCUCCUGCUGUUUUGAAGCCAGCUCACACCACGGCUGUCUCGCUCGCCAGGCAGCAGUGUGAUGAGUGUAUUAGCAUUUAGCAAAGGUCCAUAAAGUCACGGUCCCUGCCUCGAGGAGCUGACAACACUGCA
rnacentral:lncRNA from 12 species